AAGAUAACCGUCAUUUUCAGCCAGUUUGAAAUAUUGCUGUGAGUAAUUCUACAGUCAGGAGCAGAAACAGCGAGCUGUUAGAUAAAGAGCUGCAGGCGACAGGCUGCUCACCUCCACCUUCUGAGCCAGGAUCAAACAGAGUAUUGAGUGGCACUAUAGCUAUCCAAGAUGUUUGCUGAGUUCAUCGCUUUACAAAUGUUGAACCUAUGCAACCAAUUCUACUGCGAGCUUGAGAGAUACACACCACAACUGAUUGCCCUGUACAGGCAGAAGGCC